rnacentral:ncRNA from 1 species
GAGUCUGACAUGUGUGCGAGUCACGAGCGAGUUAACCCGUAAGGCAUAAGGAAGCUGAUUGGUGGUAUCCCCCCAAGGGUUGCACCACUGACCGAUCUUUAUCUUCUGAGAAGGGUUCGAGUGUGAGUAUAUCUGUUGGGACCCGAAAGAUGGUGAACUAUGCCUGAGCGGGGCGAAGCCAGAGGAAACGCUGGUGGAGGCCCGCAGCGAUACUGACAUGUAAAUCAUCCCUCUGACUUGGGUGUAGGGCCCGCAGCUGCUUUGUUGAGCUGUGCUUCGGAAUCAAGAGCUUCAAGUGGGCCAUUUUUGGUAAGCAGAACUGGCGAUGCAGGAUAAACUGAAAGCGUACAACAAUGCGAGGAAGGCGUGGGACACGAGGGCAUCCUUUCGAUUCACCCCGUGCACAAAA